ensembl:lncRNA
GAAAAUCCACAUCUUCCUACAACAGGAACCAAGUAAAAACACAUUUUACAGUCAUUCUGUGGCUUUCUUGCCAGUUUCAAAGUCAGGUAAAAAAAUCAUGGUUCAUUGUAACAGUGAGUUAGUGAACUGCUUUUUACUUCAGCAGUGCCUGCCAAACCCAUACCAAAGGAACCUGCGAAUUUCUAUCUGUCUGCAAGACUGAUUUAUGAGGUCAAAGUAUUAUGAUAAAGAUCUUUUUGCCUGUUGACUUGUGAUAUACACACAGAUCUUUGAAAAAGAGAGAAAGGUUCCACAUUUAAAUUCUGGUGUGAAGUUUUGGGAGGAAGGUGGCGGUUAACUUUAGAAUCUGUGUAAGUUCUACAGACCUUACAUCAUUUCUUAGGUAACUUGGCAUGUCCAUCAAGAAGAAAUUUUAUAUAUAGCAGCCUGUGUAUGAGCAGCAGCCAAACUUCUAUGCAAUAGGUACAGUCUUGUCCAUGGAAUAAUAGGAGAAGCAACUUCCUCCCCAUCUAGCUCCUGAUCUCCCCACUGGAACAAGGGGGGAAAGAGCAGGUUCCUGCUGCUAUAGAGACACCUGGCCUGGACCAAAGCCAUUUGAUAGUGGUUUUCCACCCCCUCCUUUCUCAUCAAGCCACUAACAAAUUAAUGAGCUAUUUCUCAAGAGCAGAGCUUAAGGAGGGAAGUACAAGGGAGAGUUACCAUUAAAUACUUUGAUCCCUUCAGCAGCUUAGGUACAAAAGCAGGUGCUCCCUCCUUUGCUGUUCUCCAGAAGGAAUGCCAUGGGACUCCACUCCAGAGCUACCAGGAACAGGAGAACCAGAGAAUACCCAGCUACCACCUCCAUCGAGGGGUCCAUCUAAGCUUCAGUGGGACCACCACAUCAGAGGAUCACAUAUCUUCUUGUAAAAUGAUGUUGUGCUGCAAAAUCACGGGGUAACCAAAGCAAGUCUAGAGACCAGAGGCAGAAUUUAACUUGACAGAGAAAGGGGAAGAAAGUUUAUUCUGUUGAGAUAUCCAGCACACAAAUGAAUGAUAAACCCUCCCAACCACAUGUCGAUGGGAAUUCUGUGGAAUCCAAGCCAGAGUAAGUGUCUGUUUCACUGAACAUGAAUAUUAAGCACAGGUGAGUUUCAAAAAACAUUGCUUGACUGCAUAAGACAGUUUGGUCAUGUUUGUUUCCCGCUGAAUUUAAGCAGAGUAAGAUGAUGUUGUAAGACAUUUUACACCUUUCAUAUGGACCAAGCUGAGUCCACCCACAUGUGCCAUCAACCAGAGCUGGUGUGAUUCUUCUUGAAAUGUCUUUUUAUUUCAUAUUCUUUUGCUUAUCAGUAUUGUACUAACAUAUGAUGGAGAGCAAAUAUGUUUUCAAAAGGGAAAUUUCAGUGAGCCCAGACUUGGGCUUGGGGCACAGCUGAUAAGCUGGUUAAUGGCACAAGAAGAAAAACUGGGUAAUUGUCUGCUCCUCACUGAUGAGAUUGCUCUUACUCUUAUAUCAUUAAUAACUUGAUUGAUCGCUCAAGAGCUAAGACUUAGCAUGAAAUUCUUCUCUAUAUCCUUCAGAUUUAGAGGUCUGCAAUCUUAAAUAUUUUUCAUAUUCAAUAGUGCUGGAAAAAAUAGGAAUUAGUUUUGGUCUAACACCUGGUAUGACACUGGAAAUUAAGUGAAAUUAAGAGAAGAAAUCAACUAAAUGGUUGUGGUUCAGUUAUAUUCUUUAUC